GACGAACGCUGGCGGCGUGCUUAACACAUGCAAGUCGAACGGAAAGGCCCUGCUUUUGUGGGGUGCUCGAGUGGCGAACGGGUGAGUAACACGUGAGUAACCUACCCUUGACUUUGGGAUAACUUCAGGAAACUGGGGCUAAUACCGGAUAGGAGCUCCUGCUGCAUGGUGGGGGUUGGAAAGUUUCGGCGGUUGGGGAUGGACUCGCGGCUUAUCAGCUUGUUGGUGGGGUAGUGGCUUACCAAGGCUUUGACGGGUAGCCGGCCUGAGAGGAUGACCGGCCACAUUGGGACUGAGAUACGGCCCAGACUCCUACGGGAGGCAGCAGUGGGGAAUAUUGCACAAUGGGCGGAAGCCUGAUGCAGCAACGCCGCGUGCGGGAUGACGGCCUUCGGGUUGUAAACCGCUUUCGCCUGUGACGAAGCGUGAGUGACGGUAAUGGGUAAAGAAGCACCGGCUAACUACGUG
rnacentral:rRNA from 1 species